UUCGAUCGGAUUAGCGGCGAACGGGUGAGUAACGCGUGAGGAACCUGCCUCUUACAACGGGAUAGCCUCGGGAAACCGGGAUUAAUACCGUAUAAGACUCCGACAUCUCCUGAUGAUGAAGUCAAAGCGUUAGCGGUAAGAGAUGGCCUCGCGUCUGAUUAGCUAGUUGGCGGGGUAACGGCCCACCAAGGCGACGAUCAGUAACCGGCCUGAGAGGGUGAACGGUCACAUUGGAACUGAGACACGGUCCAAACUCCUACGGGAGGCAGCAGUGGGGAAUCUUGCACAAUGGGGGCAACCCUGAUGCAGCGACGCCGCGUGAGCGAUGAAGGUUUUCGAAUCGUAAAGCUCUGUCCUAUGGGAAGAUAAUGACGGUACCAUGGGAGGAAGCCCCGGCUAACUACGUGCCAGCAGCCGCGGUAAUACGUAGGGGGCGAGCGUUGUCCGGAGUUACUGGGCGUAAAGGGUUCGCAGGCGGCAUGGCAAGUCCGAUGUAAAAGGCGAAGGCUCAACCUUCGUAAGCAUCGGAAACUGUCAAGCUUGAGUGAAGGAGAGGCAAGUGGAAUUCCUAGUGUAGCGGUGGAAUGCGUAGAUAUUAGGAGGAAUACCGGUGGCGAAGGCGACUUGCUGGACUUCAACUGACGCUGAGGAACGAAAGCGUGGGUAGCAAACAGGAUUAGAUACCCUGGUAGUCCACGCCGUAAACGAUGAGUGCUAGGUGUCGGGGGUCAAACCUCGGUGCCGCCGUUA
rnacentral:rRNA from 1 species